UCUACCGCUGUAUUGGUUUUUGCAUUUAUUGUGGUUUUAUCUGUCUUUGCCGAGCAAAGUAGGGCUGAACCCGAUCCUGGGCUAUUAAUGGAUAUGAGUGACACUGUGCACUCCAUAUUUAAGGAAAUGUUGGGCGGUGGUGAAAAAAUGGUGGACGCUGCCAAAGUUGCUGCUGACAAAUUUAUAGAAAUAGGCAUGUCUAAGAUUGGUUCAAGCAAAUAAGUAUGUACUUGGUAAUUGAAAAAAAAAAAAACUGUAAAAUAUUCAAAUAAAUGUUGGAAGAGCAGUUA
rnacentral:sRNA from 1 species